AACAGGAUUAGAUACCCUGGUAGUCCACGCUGUAAACGAUGUCGACUUGGAGGUUGUGCCCUUGAGGCGUGGCUUCCGGAGCUAACGCGUUAAGUCGACCGCCUGGGGAGUACGGCCGCAAGGUUAAAACUCAAAUGAAUUGACGGGGGCCCGCACAAGCGGUGGAGCAUGUGGUUUAAUUCGAUGCAACGCGAAGAACCUUACCUACUCUUGACAUCCAGAGAAUUUGCUAGAGAUAGCUUAGUGCCUUCGGGAACUCUGAGACAGGUGCUGCAUGGCUGUCGUCAGCUCGUGUUGUGAAAUGUUGGGUUAAGUCCCGCAACGAGCGCAACCCUUAUCCUUUGUUGCCAGCACAUAAUGGUGGGAACUCAAAGGAGACUGCCGGUGAUAAACCGGAGGAAGGUGGGGAUGACGUCAAGUCAUCAUGGCCCUUACGAGUAGGGCUACACACGUGCUACAAUGGCAUAUACAAAGAGAAGCGAACUCGCGAGAGCAAGCGGACCUCAUAAAGUAUGUCGUAGUCCGGAUUGGAGUCUGCAACUCGACUCCAUGAAGUCGGAAUCGCUAGUAAUCGUAGAUCAGAAUGCUACGGUGAAUACGUUCCCGGGCCUUGUACACACCGCCCGUCACACCAUGGGAGUGGGUUGCAAAAGAAGUAGGUAGCUUAACCUUCGGGAGGGCGCUUACCACUUUGUGAUUCAUGACUGGGGUGAAGUCGUAACAAGGUAACC
rnacentral:rRNA from 1 species